GAUGAACGCUGGCGGCGUGCCUAACACAUGCAAGUCGAGCGAUUCUCUUCGGAGAAGAGCGGCGGACGGGUGAGUAACGCGGGGGUAACCUGCCCUGUACAUACGGAUAACAUACCGAAAGGUAUGCUAAUACGGGAUAACAUAAGAAAGUCGCAUGUUUUUCUUAUCAAAGCUCCGGCGAUACAGGAUGGACCGGCGUCUGAUUAGCUAGUUGGUGAUGUAACGGCUCACCAAGGCAACGAUAAGUAGCCGAGCUGAGAGGGUGAUCGGCCAAAGUGGAACUGAGACAAGGUCCAAACUCCUACGGGAGGCAGAAGUGGGGAAUAUUGCACAAUGGGCGAAAGCCUGCUGCAGCAACGCCGCGUGAGCGAUGAAGGCCUUCGGGUCGUAAAGCUCUGUCCUUAAGGAAGAUAAUGACGGUACUUGAGGAGGAAGCCCCGGCUAACUACGUGCCAGCCGCCGCGGUAA
rnacentral:rRNA from 1 species